GCCGCCCGGGAUGAGCUAAUAAUGGAAGCAAUUUGUAACUUUCAGUAGCUCUCUAGGCCUGAGUACCGGAGGGAGGGAGGCGGGCAGAGGAGGGGAGAUGGGCACCCCCAGUCUUUCCAUCCUCCUCAUUCUUCUAGGGGCACCCGAAUUCCCCAUUCCUUAUUUCCCCUAUCACGCAGGCACUGGCAGGGUUCUUUGCCCACUCCUGUUGGCCGCUGCGGCUCCAAAACAAGCUGGGCAGAUGUGCCUGAGACAGGUGUGACCAGGCAACUGAAAAGACAUCCCUAAGAGAAGACACAGCAAAGGUGUGAAAGGAACACACAUCCCUGACUGACCAGGUGGAACUGUCCAGCUGCCUGCUGUCUGGAACUGCUUCCUCCCAGACUAAGUGAGAAAUAAACUUCUGUUUUCUAUA